GGGUUCAGUUAAUUCUUAAUUAGAUUAGGAAUUCAUGGAGGAGAUUGGGUUCUUAAUUGGAUUAGGUUCUCUCCUCUCUUUAAAUCUAACCAAAUCAGAUUUGGAUUGAGACCAAAAUAGAAAUACCUAGAGUCCCAACUCACUGGGAUUCUCUUCGUUGUGCAUGCCCUAGAAUCCAUGCCAAAUAUUACAUGCUAAAGGGAGUUUGGCGUGAAAUAUUUUUUGCAUGAAAGAAAAGGGUGCAAAGAGGGUGGGUGGCAUCUCUUG
rnacentral:lncRNA from 1 species